rnacentral:rRNA from 1 species
CCUACGGGUGGCAGCAGUGAGGAAUAUUGGUCAAUGGCCGUAAGGCUGAACCAGCCAAGCCGCGUGAGGGACGAAGGUGCCAAGCAUUGUAAACCUCUUUUGUCAAGGGAUAAAAUCUGGCACGUGUGCCUGUUUGUAUGUACCUUAAGAAAAAGCAUCGGCUAACUCCGUGCCAGCAGCCGCGGUAAUACGGAGGAUGCGAGCGUUAUCCGGAUUUAUUGGGUUUAAAGGGUGCGUAGGCGGACUGUUAAGUCAGCGGUAAAAGCCCGGGGCUCAACCCCGGCGUGCCGUUGAAACUGGCUGUCUUGAGAUGGCGAGAGGUAUGCGGAAUGCGCAGUGUAGCGGUGAAAUGCUUAGAUAUUGCGCAGAACUCCGAUUGCGAAGGCAGCAUGCCG